UGCUAGUAUGCGUAGAAUAAGGAUCGGCUAACUCCGUGCCAGCAGCCGCGGUAAUACGGAGGAUCCGAGCGUUAUCCGGAUUUAUUGGGUUUAAAGGGUGCGCAGGCGGCGCUUUAAGUCAGUGGUCAAAUCGUGAGGCUCAACCUCAUCCCGCCAUUGAUACUGGAGCGCUUGAUUGCGGUUGAGGUAGGCGGAAUUCGUCGUGUAGCGGUGAAAUGCAUAGAUAUGACGAAGAACACCGAUUGCGUAGGCAGCUGACCAGGCCGUAAAUGACGCUCAUGCACGAAAGUGCGGGGAUCGAACAGGAUUAGAUACCCUG
rnacentral:rRNA from 1 species